rnacentral:rRNA from 1 species
CACGUAGUUAGCCGGCGCUUCUUUACCCACUACCCUCACCACAACCCAAAGCUGCGGCUUGACCAUGAGCGAAAGAGGUUUACAACCCGAAGGCCGUCAUCCCUCACGCGGCGUCGCUGCAUCAGGCUUUCGCCCAUUGUGCAAUAUUCCCCACUGCUGCUUCCCGUAGGAGUCUGGGCCGUAUCUCAGUCCCAAUGUGACCGGUCACCCUCUCAGGCCGGCUACCCGUCAAAGCCUUGGUAAGCCAUCACCCCACCAACAAGCUGAUAGGCCGCGAGCCCAUCCCCCACCAGAAAAAACCUUUCCACCAACCCCCAUGCGAAGGCCAGUGAAUAUCCAGUAUUAGCACCCGUUUCCGGCGUUAUCCCAAGAAGGGGCAGGUACUCACGUGUUACUCACCCGUUCGCCACUCAUCCACCCAGCAAGCUGGGCUUCAGCGUUCGACUUGCAUGUGUUAAGCACGCCGCCAGCGUUGUCCUGACGCCACGGAGUCAAACUACUCUGACGACUCGACCG